rnacentral:rRNA from 1 species
GACGAACGCUGGCGGCGUGCUUAACACAUGCAAGUCGAACGGAAAGGCCCUGCUUUUGUGGGGUGCUCGAGUGGCGAACGGGUGAGUAACACGUGAGUAACCUGCCCUUGACUUUGGGAUAACUUCAGGAAACUGGGGCUAAUACCGGAUAGGAGCUCCUGCUGCAUGGUGGGGGUUGGAAAGUUUCGGCGGUUGGGGAUGGACUCGCGGCUUAUCAGCUUGUUGGUGGGGUAGUGGCUUACCAAGGCUUUGACGGGUAGCCGGCCUGAGAGGGUGACCGGCCACAUUGGGACUGAGAUCCGGCCCAGACUCCUACGGGAGGCAGCAGUGGGGAAUAUUGCACAAUGGGCGGAAGCCUGAUGCAGCAACGCCGCGUGCGGGAUGACGGCCUUCGGGUUGUAAACCGCUUUCGCCUGUGACGAAGCGUGAGUGACGGUAAUGGGUAAAGAAGUACCGGCUAACUACGUGCCAGCCGCCGCAGUAA